GGAGGCGUAGCGAAAGCGAGAGAGCGUGUCGGGAGGGCACCGGGCCGGGAUAGGUGUCUCGACGAAGUCGUCCGGCUUCGAGUGGGGGUUUUCUUCUGCUUKUGGUCGGCUUCCUAGUCGUGCCCGAUCCCGCCGGUGCGAGGCGUUUUUCCGUUUCUUCCGUCGUCCCCCUCUGGGCGUUGCAUAUAGCCGUCGUCCUCAAAAUGGCCCGAUUUUCCCCCGCCUCGGCGGUGCCUUUAAGGAGAUGAAGGUCCUGGGCGUCGGUGUAACGUUCGCAUAGMGGGGGAGCCUUAGUGCGGUCGAGACGGUUGCGUCACCUUCUUCCCGUCCGCCCACCGGUGAGAUCCCGCGGCUUGAACUUAGUCCUAUUUUGUUCGUCGAGUUUAGGCACUGCGCGCGGGCGCAUCACCCCCGGGUCGGUUUGUUUUUUACUCCGAGUCCGACUCGGCCGACUCUGGCGUAGCGAGCGGCCAGGGACCCGAAAGAUGGCGAUCCACGCCCGGUCGGGAUGAAGCCAGAGGAAACUCUGGUGGAAGUCCGAAGCGCCUCUGACGUGCAAAUCGAUCGUCGGAACCGGGUGUAGGGGCGAAAGACCAAUC
rnacentral:rRNA from 1 species